GCCGCCGGUGGCGGCAGCGCCGCGCUGGGCCGGGCUCUCCUCAGGAAGGCUCUGGAGAAGAGCAGCAGGUAUGGAUCGGCACCACAAGCAGCUCCGGCCACGCCAGCAGCCUGCCCAGGCCCGUGGUGGAUGUGUAAAGCAGCGAGGAAGGAGUGAAGGAGAAGGAGCGGGGCGAAGUCCCUCAGGAAUCGGGGGCACAGAAGCGCAGGGUCUGCCUCCCUGCGCUCAGGCCUCGCUGCUUGACUCGCUGCCCCAAAACGGGCUGCAGCCGAGGAGCAGGACGUGUCCCGACCUCUCCAGGGCAAAGCCCUGUAACAUAACAAACCUGUUAGCCCCGAGAGCUCCCCUGUGGCCGCGUCUCUCAGGCAGCUCAGCUCUGGUGGCAGAAAGGCCGCGGGAGCCCCGCAUGCAGAGGUUUUGCUCCUCACACACGCGUGUGGAAGAGCAGCUGGGUCAGCCUCGGGUGGCUCUGGCUGCCUGUGAGCACGAGCACUCAAAUCUGUCAGCAGCACUGACUUCUGCACCUGGCUCCUGGUUGCUCUUUCCCAUCUCCUCACUUUUCUGAUUUUUUUUUUCUCCUCACAUCCUAAUUGGAGGUGACAAGGAACAAACCUGCUUGGAAGUGACCAUAAGCCUGCAGAACUUUUUUGGGACUUGCUGGAAUUUCCAGAAAAAAAAAAAAAAACAAAAAAAAAGGUAAGACUAAUACCUUAGCUUUAAGGUAUCAAAAGGACAAUGAGCUCUGUGAGAAGGGAAAAAAGUAGUGAUAUUCCAAAUUGCAGCUCCUAGGACUAAAAGAUAACUAACAGGAGUUUUGUUAGUGGCAGGAUUAUGCCCCGUAGAGGUUCAAAAUUUUGGACUAAUAGCUUUUAUUUGGCAACCAAAGGCCCUGAAGAAUUGCUGGAAUGGCCCUGACAGUGUUGAACCAGUUUUAAGACCUUGAAGGAUGCUCAUGGAAGCACCAGCUUCAGGCCUUCCAGGUACAACCAAGCUCUUUUCAUGAUGCAUGCAUGGAAGGCAACCAGUGGCCUCUGUGGGGAUGACACAGCUUCUUGGGAGUUGGCAAAGGCCAGUGGCAUCCUUCUCCAAGCAACUGGAUGGUCAGCAUGCUUAUCGGCCAGAGCAGCCCUAGUGAUGCAGGAGGCCCAGAAAUUCACUUUGGGAUGCUCAGUAACUGUGUUAGUGCCACGUGCCAUUGCUGGCUGUUUGGAAUCCAGAGGGACAUCACUGGAUCUCUCUAAUGCUGGCAAAAUACCGAGCUGUGCUAAUGGACCUGGGAGAGAAGUAGCCGUGUGUGCGUGACGCCGACUUCAAGGGAAGCCAUUUUGCUCCCUGCUGAAAAGCAAGGGCCUUUUUCAACGUGAGUGCACACCGUGGGGCACUCAGGACGCCAAGAUUUAAGGGAUGAACCUUUGCAGGAACCAGGCAAAAGCUGGCAGCAGAUUGGGCUGUAUUGCAGCGAGUGCUACGGAGCCCUGAACAACACCUGCUCCGUCUGCACGGCCCCCCUGAGCUCCCCGGACUCUGGCGACGAGGAGAUGGACUCCAGUGACGAGGACACGCCGGGGCUGUGGCCGGGCCGGGGCCAGGAGCGAGGGCGGCGGCUGCUGCAGCGCAUCAAGGACGUGCUCAAGCCCUCCAGAACGGCUGCCCAGCUGUGAGCCCAGCUGUGAGGGGAGGAAAAGAGUGAGGAAAGCAAUGUGGGCAGCAGUGGGGUCAACAAGAGCAGGUGAGGGCUGGCUGUGGGCUGGCAACGUCCCCUGUCCUCCCCAGCACUGGGGAUGCUGGAUGCCAACACUGCGGCUCCUCUCUGCCAGCAAGACUUCAACUACCAGCAGCAGGCCAAGAACAGUGAAAGCGAGGGCCCAGUGACAGCAGGACGGUGCCAUGUGGCAGCAAAACCACGGGUCCAGGUGCUGGGAUGUGCCUGGAGCCCCACCAGUGCAGCAGAAGCUGAGAGCCCCUGGGUGUGGAAGGGCUGGUGAGUAAAUCACCUGCUCCUCAAGGCAGCUGAGUCCUGGUACUCUGAGCUGGCAUCCACCAUUCCAUGAUGGUCCAGGCCUUGUGGUACCCCAGCUCCUUGCUGCCCUGGCUCCGUCCCUGCUGUGACCCCAGCCUCUCAAUGUCCCCCAGCCCCACCUCCAGCGCCUUGGUGCCACCAUCUCCAUGCCCGCUGUGCCUCCAGCCCUUACACACCCUCGUCCCCAGCCUUUAUGGUGUCCCCAUUCCCAUCCCUGUGGUGCCCCCAGCCCCAUGCUGACCCCCACCCCUCGAUGUCCCUCUCCCCACACACGGUGCCCGCUCCCCAUCCCUGCAGUGCCCCAGACUCUCAAUGUCCCUUGUCCCCAUCCCCACAUCGUCCCCAGUCCUGAGCUGCUCCAGGGGCAGGGAUGCAGAAUGGACAGACAGCUGGACACGGGGGAAGUCCCUGCUUCUCCGUUUAUUACCAAGCAGCCUUCGUUUAAAAAACAAAACAAAAAAAACCAAAACAAAACAAAAAAAAAAAAUAAAACAAA